AUUGAACGCUAGCGGGAUGCUUUACACAUGCAAGUCGAACGAGUGGCGGAAGGGUGAGUAAUAUAUCGGAAUGUGCCCAGUGACGGGGGUAAACUACUCGAAAGAGUGGCUAAUGCCGUAUACGCUUGGAGCGGCCGAUAUCGGAUUAGCUAGUUGGGGGGGGAAAGGCCCACCAAGGCAACGAUCCGUAGCUGGUUUGAGAGGACGACCAGCCACACGGGGACUGAGACACGGCCCAGACUCCGACGGGAGGCAGCAGUGGGGAAUUUGGGACAAUGGGGGAAACCCUGAUCCAGCCAUCCCGCGUGUAUGAGAAGGCCUUCGGGUUGUAAAGUACUUUUGGCAGAGAAGCGGUAUCUGCAGAAUAAGCACCGGCUAACUACGUGCCAGCAGCCGCGGUAAUAC
rnacentral:rRNA from 1 species